rnacentral:lncRNA from 1 species
UGCUUCCGCCGAGACCCCUUUUCUGUGUCCCCCGUGGACAUCCCCCUGGGAGCUGGGGACGGACUCGCUCUGAAAUCUGCUUGACCUGGGGUCUGCCAGGGCCCAGGUCUGCGCUCAGUGGUGGCCAUGACAAUCAGGCAGGACGGGGGACUCUGUCCACCUGGGCACGGUGGAAGGUUUUAAGGGGCAUGUUUUCCGCCCCUGGGGGCAGUGGAGGCAUGGACUGCUUUUGGGUGCAUCCCAUCUGUUUGCUUGGGGGAGGAUGCUUCUGUUUUAAUAAUUUACCAGCACCCUGUGAGGAAGUGUUCCCCGAGUUGUGAAACUAGUGAGAAGGUGGUUCAGCUCCGUGGAGCCUAGUGAUCCUGUCAUAUGUGAAGAGCGUCUUUUUCCAUGUGUUUCUGGCUGGGGCGUGUAUUCAGCAAGUUCCUUUGGGUCCCACCGGGUGCCUGCACUGUCUUGGGAUCUCUGGAUACUGGACUGAAUUCAAGGGAUCGGUGCCCUGCCCCAGUCCUCUGCCUCAAUGGCCAUUUAUCAGAAUGUCCCCGGGCUGGAGAAUGCUCCUAAAAACAGCACCAGUCCUAAAGCAGGCUCAUUAGACGACUCCUAUGGGCUUUUAUCACUGCCGUUAUGGGAGCUAAUGACUCCCCUAAUUCUCCAAUAAUAGCUUCCUUAUGAGCCACCAGGAGGGUUUGUCAACACACGGGGUCAGCCUUCUCCUGCAGCCCCUGCUGAAGCAGUGGGCAUCCUCUCUCCGCUUUGCAGUUUAUGUUUUGAAACCCUGAAGGUCGGAGCGUAAAGCCGUGGUAGAGUCAACUUCUGUCUGAGCCGAGGAUUUCUGGGACUUGCCAGCCUCGUCUCCGUGUGUCUGAUUGGACACCUGGCAGGUCCGGGCGCUCCCCCUCCUUGAGCCGGCGACACCAGGACGGGUCAGACUGUCCUGGCCUAGAGGAGGUCACCGCUGGGGAGGAAAAGGGGGUAACGGAGAUUCUGCCGCACAGACGGGUGUCUGUGUACAGGCUGUUUUGGUGGAAGCGUCUACUGUGUCAGGAGCUGCGGGUGCCUGCGUGUGCACGUGUGUGUUUAGUUGCUGAGACCUGAAAUAUAUAUGUCUUAGUAACAAUCCGUUUGCUCGCAUUUUCUAACCCUUUCCUCUUUGGGGAGGGGGCUGCUAACAAGAUGUUAACUGCUGGCGCUUAAAGGUAUAGCUGAUCAGCCACCGCACAGCACCCCGCCUGGCCUUUGUUGUACUUUUCUGUCUCGUGGAAGAGACCCUUCCUCAGCCUCCUGCCCUGUCUUCAGUCCCUGUCCCGUCCUGCAGGAGCCCUCUGGGGUGGCCAGGGGCCGUCCUCUGUGUCCU